GCUGGAGCUGCGCGAGCACCGCGGGAAGGUACGGGGCAAUUACGGGGGCGGGGGCGGGAUAGCGAGGUUAGGGGGUCGUGGGGACAGGACAAACAGGUUAUGGGGGGAACGAGGCAAUAAUGGGGUCGUGGUUACGGGAUAAUGAGGUUACGGGGUAAAUGGGGCAGUAACGGGGUCGUGGGGGCGAGAUAAUGAGGUUAUGGGGUAAAUGGGGCAAUAAUGGGGUCGUGGGGCGGGAUAACGAGGUUAAGGGGGGUAACGGGACAGUAAUGGGGUCGUGGGGGUGGGAUAACGAGGUUAUGGGGUAAAUGGGGCAGCAAUGGGGAGUAAUGGGGAAUAAUGGGGUAUAACGGGGUAUAAUGGGGUGUAAUGGGGUAUAAAGGGGAAUAAUGGGGAAAAAAUGGAGAAUAAUGGGCAGUAAUGGGGAGUAAUGGGGAAUAAUGGGUAUUAAUAGAGAAUACCGGGGAACAACGGGGAGCACCCCAGUAACGGGUGCCCCCUGCUGCCCCCCAGACCCCCCUGCUGGUGGCAGCGGCAGCAGCGGCCCCGGGGGUCCUCGGGGACCUCCUGGCCCUGGGCGCCGACCCCGAUGCCGCCGACCACCGCGGGCGCACGGUGCUGCACCUCGCCGCCACCUACGGGCUACCCCGCGUGCUCCAGGCCCACGGGAACACCCCCCUGCACAUGGCGGCGGCGCUGCCGGGGGGGCCCAGCCAGGAGCCCCUGGUGCGGCUGCUGCUGGCCUGGGGGGCCGACCCCGGCGCCCGCAACCUGGAGCACGACCUGCCCCACGGGCUGCUGCCCCCCGGGCCCCCCGGGGACCAGCUUCGCCUCCUCCUGAAGAGCCGCCGGGGGGCACGCCGCCCCUCCCCCACCUCCUAGAUGACGUCAUCAGAGGGCGGGGCAGCUCGGAUGUGACAUCAUAGGGGGGGGCACCCCAAAACGGCCCCCUCCCCCCGCCGCCCACCUUCGUUUUUCUCGAUUUCCGUGAAAUCGCCCAUUUUUGGGGGGUGGGGCAAAGGGGGAGGAGCCUAUCAGAGAAGGCUCCGCCCCCUCGCCCCCCACCCCCCCCACUUCCCUUCAAUGAAUU
rnacentral:lncRNA from 1 species